UGUGGUUUACAAGUAUCGAUAUUAGGUAACUUAUCCUGAAUACAUAGGGAUAAAGUGGCGAACGCAGGGAACUGAAACAUCUAAGUACCUGUAGGAAAGGACAUCAACCGAGACUCCGCAAGUAGUGGCGAGCGAACGCGGACCAGGCCAGCGGCUUUUGUGAGACAAGCGGAACCUUCUGGAAAGUUGGGCAAGAAUGGGUGACAGCCCCGUACGCGUAAUGCAAACAAAAGUCCUUGAGUAAGGCGGGACACGUGAAAUCCUGUCUGAACAUGGGGAGACCACUCUCCAAGCCUAAGUACUCGUGCAUGACCGAUAGCGAACUAGUACCGUGAGGGAAAGGUGAAAAGCACCCCGACGAGGGGAGUGAAAGAGUACCUGAAACCGGUUGCCUACAAACAGAUGGAGCCUGAAAUGGUGACAUCGUACCUUUUGUAUAAUGGGUCAGCGACUUAGUGUGUCGAGCAAGCUUAAGCCGGUAGGUGUAGGCGCAGCGAAAGCGAGUCUGAACAGGGCGUUCAGUUCGACGCAUUAGACCCGAAACCGAGUGAUCUAGCCAUGAGCAGGUUGAAGGUAAGGUAACACUUACUGGAGGACCGAACCCAUAACUGUUGCAAUAGUUCGGGAUGACUUGUGGCUAGGGGUGAAAGGCCAAUCAAACUCGGAAAUAGCUGGUUCUCCGCGAAAUCUAUUUAGGUAGAGCGUCGACCGAAUACCCCAGGGGGUAGAGCACUGGAUGGGCUAGGGGUCCUCACCGGAUUACCAAACCUAACCAAACUCCGAAUACCUGGGAGUACUAGUCGGCAGACACACGGCGGGUGCUAACGUCCGUCGUGGAAAGGGAAACAACCCUGACCAACAGCUAAGGUCCCCAAGUCAUGGCUAAGUGGGAAAGGAUGUGAGGAUCCCAAAACAACCAGGAUGUUGGCUUAGAAGCAGCCAUCAUUUAAAGAAAGCGUAACAGCUCACUGGUCUAAAUAAGGGUCUUUGCGCCGAAAAUGUAACGGGGCUAAAGCCAUGCACCGAAGCUUUGGGUUUGCA
rnacentral:rRNA from 1 species